rnacentral:rRNA from 1 species
GAUGAACGCUAGCUACAGGCUUAACACAUGCAAGUCGUGGGGCAGCGGAUACUUAGCUUGCUAAGUAUGCCGGCGACCGGCGCACGGGUGAGUAACGCGUACCGAACCUGCCCAUCACACAGGGAUAGGCUUGCGAAAGCAAGAUUAAUACCUGAUGGUCUCAAUUUUAUGCAUGUAUGAUUGAGUAAAGCCUUCGGGCGGUGAUGGAUGGCGGUGCGUCCCAUUAGGAAGUUGGCGGGGUAACGGCCCACCAAUCCUUCGAUGGGUAGGGGUUCUGAGAGGAAGGUCCCCCACAUUGGAACUGAGAUACGGUCCAAACUCCUACGGGAGGCAGCAGUGAGGAAUAUUGGUCAAUGGGCGAGAGCCUGAACCAGCCAAGUAGCGUGCGGGAUGAAGGCCCUUGUGGUCGUAAACCGCUUUUAUCAGUGAAUAAAGUGCAUCACGUGUGGUGUCAUUGCAGGUAGCUGAAGAAAAAGGGCCGGCUAAUUCCGUGCCAGCAGCCGCGGUAAUACGGAAGGUCCGGGCGUUAUCCGGAAUUAUUGGGUUUAAAGGGAGCGCAGGCGGGAGUAUAAGUCAGCUGUUAAAUAUCAGGGCCCAACUCUGUUAUGCAGUUGAAACUAUAUUUCUUGAGUACGCACAGGGAUGGCGGAAUUCAGGGUGUAGCGGUGAAAUGCUUAGAUAUCCUGAAGAACUCCGAUCGCGAAGGCAGCCAUCCGGAGCGUAACUGACGCUGAGGCUCGAAGGUGCGGGUAUCGAACAGG